GUGGUUUUUUGGGGUUUUUUUUUUCAAUUUUUUUCCCCCAAUUCAUUCAUUUCUUGAGAUUCCCCAGCCCAAAGCCACAAAUCCAUAAAGAUUUUUUUCCCAGGAGAAGCCUGAACCUGUGGUGAGCUGUCAGGAAGAUUUUUAAGGAGCGUGGGAAGCUGCACCCCAGGCUGGGCCCUCCUGGCCUUUGUGAUCAGGGAUUGGGUGUCCAAAUUUAUCCCAAAUCCAGGUUUUACCCCAAUGACAAGGAUACAACUCUCCACAGGGAAUAAUAUAUAAAAAUAUAUAAUUCUCAGUACAGGGAGAACGUGUUCCAAGGACUGUGAGUUCCCUCCUCCUGUCCUUCCCCUCCAUCCUCCCCCCAAGGAAAAGCCAAGUAGAGCUUUUUGUUUGUUGCCCUGGUGAAGAAUUAAGGAUUCCCUGGCGGAGCAGGGCUGGGACCCAGCCUCAGUGCCCGUGGGGGCCCUCCCCAGCUGCCCAGCGCUGUGGAUCCUCCCCCUCUCCUCAGGCGCCUUCAUUUCCAGAACUUUCUCCAGGUUUCAGGGUGGCAGAAGAUGGUGGUGACAGACUGCACGGGCCAGGGGUCACCCGGCAAGCACAGGAUUUGCACAACUCGGGGAAAAUCAAAUAAAAACAAAACACUUUUGUUGAGUUCCCACUGUGGCGGGGGAGAGCGAAGAGCAGGAUUUUGGCUGACUGAUCCCUUUGUAACAGAGCAGAGUUUUCCAGGGAAAACUCCAGAACACAGAACCCAAAGCAAUUUAUUUUCUGUUUGCAGAGCAGGGUGACAGCAUUAAGGUAGCUCAAACUUCUUGACAGUGUCCUUUUAAGUCAAUUAUCCGUCUUCAAAUGGACUCUUCCUGAUGUUUAUAUUUAUAAAUACCAAUAAACACCAUUUUCCAA